UGUUAACUUCCUGACAUUUCCAAUAAUAGGUUUUUUAAAAAUUCAAAUAAUAAAAGAAAUAUUAGGUGAGAUGUUUAGGUAGUUUUUACUUCUCUGAAUAUCUGAAGUGCAACAACAAAACUAUAUAUAUAUAUAUAAAAUAUAUAUUUAUAUUUUUAUUUUAUAUAUAAAAUAUGUAUAUAUUUAUAUUUCAUAUAUAUAAUAUACAUAUAAAUAUAUAUAUAAAUUUAUAUAUAUAUAAAAUAGCUAAGACCAUGGACCCUGGACUCAAACUACCUGGGUCUGAAUCCUGGUUCCACCACUCACUAGCUGUUUGACUUUGAACAAGCUAAAUAACAUCUUUGAACCUCAGUUUUGUUAUCUAUAAGAAUGAUAAUAAGAAUCCCUAUGUUAUAGGGUUACUGUUAUGAUUUAAAUAGUUAAUAUAGGUAAACCAUGUAAAUAGUGCCUGACACAUGAUAAAUACUCUCUGUGUUAGUUAUUAAAAUACUUAGUGAAAGCUUUCAGAGUUUGAAAAAGCUUUAGAGAUUGUCUAAGAAAGUGUUUUCUAAAGUUUUUCUAAGGAUUUAUAAGUGUUGCAUGAUUUUUAAAAAAUUUCAGAUGGCCAGUACAUUUUGGCAAAGCUUGUUGAAAAAAAUGUUACGCUUCUUAUUGGCAGGACUUCUCAGACAAAAUAUACAAAUGUUCGUUGUGAAUCUAUAACAGAUGGAAAUAGUUUAAACUACUUCCUGUUUAUGUAACCAAGGAACUUUUUCUUUUUUUCUUUCCUGCAGGACAUUUCUUAGACUAGAAGCACACUUUGCCAGAAGUUUUUCUAUCAAAACUUCAUUUUGCAGAAGAUGAAACAGUUCUUGUGUGUCUCAGUCUGUGAAAUCAUAGACAUACUUAAUUUAUGAAAACACAGCCCUAGGUAUAUUUAAGUAGGUUAUUGUGAGUAUUUAAAUUAGAUUAGAUCAUCCUCAUUUGUCUGCUUGAAACUCUGACCUGUUAGGCUCUGGGCCUCCGCUUCCAAUAUUCACUUCAGGCUCUCCUUGCAUUUAUGAUUAUUUUGGACAUAGUUCUUUGGCUUAGUGUCACAUUCCCCUUAAAGAUGAUGUGGUUUUGCCAUUUGGCCUUAUGCACUGUAACCUCAGCAAAGGGAGCCACUCCCUUUUUACUAGAGGAGAAUUGGUGACUUGCUCCAUAUCACACAGAAAAUUAGUGACAGUGCUGACACAGGAUCUUCAUCUCUUUUUCCAGCACUGGCCAGUCAUCUGAAUCUGGCCUGUUUUGUCUGGCUUGACCAUUGUUUAAAUAUGAAUGUUUUUAUGAAAAAUAUGUGCUCUACAGUUCACUAUAUUCUAUGCCAGGAGUCAGCAAACAUUCUCUGUAAAGGGCCAACCAGAUAACUAAUUUUUAAAAUCAAUUUAACAAA
rnacentral:lncRNA from 1 species